rnacentral:rRNA from 1 species
CCUUCGGGCUUAGUGGCGCACGGGUGCGUAACACGUGGGAAUCUGCCCUUAGGUACGGAAUAACUCAGGGAAACUUGAGCUAAUACCGUAUGAUGUCUUCGGACCAAAGAUUUAUCGCCUAAGGAUGAGCCCGCGUCGGAUUAGCUAGUUGGUGGGGUAAAGGCCUACCAAGGCGACGAUCCGUAGCUGGUCUGAGAGGAUGAUCAGCCACACUGGGACUGAGACACGGCCCAGACUCCUACGGGAGGCAGCAGUGGGGAAUAUUGGACAAUGGGCGAAAGCCUGAUCCAGCAAUGCCGCGUGAGUGAAGAAGGCCUUCGGGUUGUAAAGCUCUUUUACCCGGGAAGAUAAUGACUGUACCGGGAGAAUAAGCCCCGGCUAACUCCGUGCCAGCAGCCGCGGUAAUACGGAGGGGGCUAGCGUUGUUCGGAAUUACUGGGCGUAAGGCGCACGUAGGCGGCUUUACAAGUCAGGGGUGAAAGCCCGCGGCUCAACCGCGGAAUUGCCCUUGAGACUGUAUCGCUUGAACACGGGGAGAGGUGAGUGGAAUUCCGAGUGUAGAGGUGAAAUUCGUAGAUAUUCGGAAGAACACCAGUGGCGAAGGCGGCUCACUGGACCGUANUUGACGCUGAGGUGCGAAAGCGUGGGGAGCAAC